AAUGAGCUUAAUUUCCUUUUUU
rnacentral:miRNA from 1 species